AGCUCAGCCGGAUAGAGCAACUGCCUUCUAAGCAGUGGGUCGGGGGUUCGAGUCCCUCAAGGCACGCCA
rnacentral:tRNA from 1 species